GUGUGUGUUAUUACAUUGCAAUACAGUAAAGAUAAGUAAGACUUUUAUAAUAAAGUGCAUUACCAGUAGCUGUUACAAGGUAUGACACCAGCACAGUAGGCAACUUUGUCCUCUCUCUUUCUCUCUCCCUCCCAGCGGGCCAGUGAAGAGGAGGAGCAUAUUGGGGAUGAAGACGACAAAGUACCAGCCUCAAAGAAAAAGAGCGCUGCUGAAUUUAGAAAGCAACUGGACGAACAGAUGUGGGA